rnacentral:rRNA from 1 species
GGCAGUGCCGGUGACAUAUCAAUUAGAUGUCCGCCCCAUCAAUUGUUGACGGUAAGGUAGUGGCUUACCGUGGUUACAACGGGUAACGGGGAAUCAGGGUUCGAUUCCGGAGAGGGAGCAUGAGAAAUGGCUGCCAGAUCUAUGGAUUGCAGCAGGUGCGAAAAUUAUCCACUUUUGGCAUAAAGAGAUAGUGAUGAUAAAUAACGGAUCUGGGCAUUUGUUCAGAGAUCGUAAUGAAAUAAUCGUAAAAGCUUUAAUGAACGCAAUUGGAGGGCAAGUCUGGUGCCAGCAGCCGCGGCAAUUCCAGUUCCAAUAGUGUAUACUAAAGUUGCUGCAGUUGAAAAGCUCGUAGUUGGAUCUCGGCUUGCUAGCGCGCGAGGCGUGUGAGUAGGCCUUUGCUGUAGUUGAGUGCUACGGCUUUACCUUGAACAAAAUAGAGUGCUUAAGGCAAGCAUUCUGCUUGAAUAUCUCAGCAUGGAAUAAUAGAAAAAGACUUUUCUGUUGGUUUACCAGUAGUAAAAGUAAUGAUUAACAGAGACAGACGGGGGCAUUCGUAUCGCACCGCUAGAGGUGAAAUUCGUAGAUCGGUGCGGGACGAACUACAGCGAAAGCAUUUGCCAAGGAUGUUUUCAUUAAUCAAGAACGAAAGUUGGAGUAUCGAAGUCGAUUAGAUCUCGUCGUAGUUCCAACUAUAAACGAUGCCAACUAGCACUCCGCUAAUAAGUAUUAGUACGUUAGCGGGUUGCUUCCGGGAAACCAAAGUCUUUGGGCUCCGGGGGAAGUAUGGUUGCAAAGCUGAAACUUAAAGGAAUUGACGGAAGGGCACCACCAGGAGUGGAGCCUGCGGCUCAAUUUGACUCAACACAGAAAAACUCACCCGGGCCGAACACAGUAAGGAUUGACAGACUGAUAGCUUUUUCUUGAUACUGUGGGUAGUGGUGCAUGGCCGUUGUUGGUUGGUGGAGUGAUCUGUCUGGUUAAUUCCGAUAACGAACGAGACUCAGGCCUACUUACUAGUUGUUCGAUUGCUGGUCGAUCAACUUCUUAGAGGGAUCAGUGUUUAAAACACUUGAAAAUGAGCAAUAACAGGUCUGUGAUUGCCCUUAGACGUUCGGGGCUGCACGCGCGCUACAAUGGAGAAAGCAGUGGGUGUCUUGCUUGGCAAAGCAAGCUGAGCCUUAAAAUUUCUUCGUGACAGGGAUCGAGGCUUGUAAUUAUUCCUCGUGCACAAGGAAUUCCUAGUAAUCGCAGGUCAUUAGCCUGCAAUGAUUACGUCCCUGCCCUUUGUACACACCGCCCGUCGCUACUACCGAUGAA